CGGGUGCACUGAUCCAGCCGGGCCCUUCCCUCUGUGGAACCCCAUGGCCUUCACUGGCUGUGGCGGGGAAACAGGACUUUUACUUUGAAAAAAUUAGAGUGCUCCAGGCAGGCCUAUGCUCGAAUACAUUAGCAUGGAAUAAUAGAAUAGGACGUGUGGUUCUAUUUUGUUGGUUUCUAGGACCGCCGUAAUGAUUAAUAGGGACAGUCGGGGGCAUCAGUAUUCAAUUGUCAGAGGUGAAAUUCUUGGAUCUAUUGAAGACUAACUACUGCGAAAGCAUUUGCCAAGGAUGUUUUCAUUGAUAAGGAACGAAAGUUAGGGGAUCGAAGACGAUCAGAUACCGUCGUAGUCUUAACUAUAAACUAUGCCGACUAGGGAUCGGACGAUGUUAUUCUUUGACGCGUUCGGCACCUUUCGAGAAAUCAAAGUGCUUGGGCUCCAGGGGGAGUAUGGUCGCAAGGCUGAAACUUAAAGAAAUUGACGGAAGGGCACCACCAGGGGUGGAACCUGCGGCUUAAUUUGACUCAACACGGGGAAACUCACCAGGUCCAGACACAGUGAGGAUUGACAGAUUGAGAGCUCUUUCUUGAUUCUGUGGGUGGUGGUGCAUGGCCGUUCUUAGUUGGUGGAGUGAUUUGUCUGCUUAAUUGCGAUAACGAACGAGACCUUAACCUGCUAAAUAGCCCGUACUGCUUUGGCAGUUCGCCGGCUUCUUAGAGGGACUAUCGG
rnacentral:rRNA from 1 species